AAAGAUAUACCUCAAAAUCUCCAAAAACCAGUAGCUCAAAACAUUAUAUGUGUAACAGAAUUAAGAAAAACAUAAGCGAUAAAAGUGCAAUGGUGAUGGUGGUGUGUAGCAGCCGUAUGUUCCAUUUGUCGACGACCUCCUCAACAGGAACAGGAACAGAAUCAUCGUCGUUGAAGAAGAGCGGGCAUAAGCUUCGAUUUCAUCGUCCUCAAUCUCAACCGUUGGUCAUGGAAACUGUGCAGGCCAAAGACGAAUCUAGUGCUCCACCUCGACGUUUGAUUUUGCUUCGCCACGCAAAGAGUUCAUGGGAGGAUCGAUCCCUUAAAGACCAUGAUCGUCCUCUGAGUAAAGCUGGAGAAACUGAUGCUAUACAAGUCACUUACAAGCUCCAACAGCUGGGUUGGAUCCCUGGGCUUAUUUUAUCAAGUGAUGCAAGACGGACAAGGCAAACUCUUAAAAUCAUGCAGGACCAAGUGCAAGCCUUCUUGGAAGCUGAGAUACACUUUAUUUCAAGCUUUUAUUCUGUUGCAGCAAUGGAUGGGCAGACAGCUGAUCACCUCCAACAAGCUAUCUGUAGAUAUGCUAGAGAUGAGAUACUUACAGUUAUAGCUGUUUCAGGUGUAUGGGACAUAAUAGAGGGUGGGAGGAGGCAGCCUCUACAUUUUCUGGUGCCUCCAUAGAACUGAAGACUUGCAAUGCUGCGUUGCUUGAAGCUGCUGGCAAAUCAUGGGAAGAGGCAUUUCUUUUGGCGGGACAUGGUGGGUGGAAGCUCCAGCAAUUAGUGAAGCCAAAUGGUAUCCCCUAGGGCUGGGCCAAAUUAAAGAGUACACCAUAGCAAUUAGCAAACAAACAGAUAAUAUAAAAUGGCCACUGAAUUCCCUAUAGUUGUUGUGGUGGUGGUUGUAUUAAAGAGUAGUGGUUUGUUUGUUUUUUAUCCAUCAACAAAUUAAUGAACCAAAUAUAAAUUAUAACUU